rnacentral:rRNA from 1 species
ACGAACGCUGGCUGCGUGCUUAACACAUGCAAGUCGAACGCUGAAGCCUGGUGCUUGCACCGGGUGGAUGAGUGGCGAACGGGUGAGUAACACGUGAGUAACCUGCCCCUGACUUCGGGAUAAGCCCGGGAAACUGGGUCUAAUACCGGAUACGACUGCCGGACGCAUGUCUGGUGGUGGAAAGUUUUUUCGGUUGGGGAUGGGCUCGCGGCCUAUCAGUUUGUUGGUGAGGUAAUGGCUCACCAAGACGACGACGGGUAGCCGGCCUGAGAGGGCGACCGGCCACACUGGGACUGAGACACGGCCCAGACUCCUACGGGAGGCAGCAGUGGGGAAUAUUGCACAAUGGGGGAAACCCUGAUGCAGCGACGCAGCGUGCGGGAUGACGGCCUUCGGGUUGUAAACCGCUUUCAGCAGGGAAGAAGCGCAAGUGACGGUACCUGCAGAAGAAGUACCGGCUAACUACGUGCCAGCAGCCGCGGUAAUACGUAGGGUACGAGCGUUGUCCGGAAUUAUUGGGCGUAAAGAGCUCGUAGGUGGUUGGUCACGUCUGCUGUGGAAACGCAACGCUUAACGUUGCGCGUGCAGUGGGUACGGGCUGACUAGAGUGCAGUAGGGGAGUCUGGAAUUCCUGGUGUAGCGGUGAAAUGCGCAGAUAUCAGGAGGAACACCGGUGGCGAAGGCGGGACUCUGGGCUGUAACUGACACUGAGGAGCGAAAGCAUGGGGAGCGAACAGGAUUAGAUACCCUGGUAGUCCAUGCCGUAAACGUUGGGCACUAGGUGUGGGGGGCAUUCCACGUUCUCCGCGCCGUAGCUAACGCAUUAAGUGCCCCGCCUGGGGAGUACGGUCGCAAGGCUAAAACUCAAAGGAAUUGACGGGGGCCCGCACAAGCGGCGGAGCAUGCGGAUUAAUUCGAUGCAACGCGAAGAACCUUACCAAGGCUUGACAUACACCGGACCGUCCUGGAAACAGGUCUUCUUCUUGAAG